UUUCGAUAGCGUAAAAGUUAACUCAAAUUUGUAUGGAGUUGGAACGUUAGCGUACGUUUACCGCUAAGGGCGCUGUUCCAACUGCACAGUAAUUUAAGUUAAUUUUUACGCUAUCGA
rnacentral:pre_miRNA from 9 species